AGAGUUUGAUCCUGGCUCAGGAUGAACGCUAGCGACAGGCCUAACACAUGCAAGUCGAGGGGCAGCGAAGAGGUAGCAAUACCUUUGCCGGCGACCGGCGCACGGGUGAGUAACACGUAUGCAAUCCACCUGUAACAGGGGGAUAACCCGGAGAAAUCCGGACUAAUACCCCAUAAUAUGGGCGCUCCGCAUGGAGAGCCCAUUAAAGAGAGCAAUUUUGGUUACAGACGAGCAUGCGCUCCAUUAGCCAGUUGGCGGGGUAACGGCCCACCAAAGCGACGAUGGAUAGGGGUUCUGAGAGGAAGGUCCCCCACAUUGGAACUGAGACACGGUCCAAACUCCUACGGGAGGCAGCAGUGAGGAAUAUUGGUCAAUGGUCGGCAGACUGAACCAGCCAAGUCGCGUGAGGGAAGACGGCCCUACGGGUUGUAAACCUCUUUUGUCGGAGAGUAAAGUACGCUACGUGUAGCGUAUUGCAAGUAUCCGAAGAAAAAGCAUCGGCUAACUCCGUGCCAGCAGCCGCGGUAAUACGGAGGAUGCGAGCGUUAUCCGGAUUUAUUGGGUUUAAAGGGUGCGUAGGUGGUGAUUUAAGUCAGCGGUGAAAGUUUGUGGCUCAACCAUAAAAUUGCCGUUGAAACUGGGUUACUUGAGUGUGUUUGAGGUAGGCGGAAUGCGUGGUGUAGCGGUGAAAUGCAUAGAUAUCACGCAGAACUCCGAUUGCGAAGGCAGCUUACUAAACCAUAACUGACACUGAAGCACGAAAGCGUGGGGAUCAAACAGGAUUAGAUACCCUGGUAGUCCACGCAGUAAACGAUGAUCACUAGCUGUUUGCGAUACACUGUAAGCGGCACAGCGAAAGCGUUAAGUGAUCCACCUGGGGAGUACGCCGGCAACGGUGAAACUCAAAGGAAUUGACGGGGGCCCGCACAAGCGGAGGAACAUGUGGUUUAA
rnacentral:rRNA from 1 species